rnacentral:rRNA from 1 species
AUGCUAUUUGCAACUUUAGAACAUAUACUAACUCAUAUCUCUUUCUCAACAAUUUCAAUUGUGAUUACGAUUCAUUUGAUAACCUUAUUAGUUCGUGAACUUGGAGGAUUACGUGAUUCGUCAGAAAAAGGAAUGAUAGUUACUUUUUUCUCUAUAACAGGAUUCUUAGUUUCUCGUUGGGCUUCCUCGGGACAUUUUCCAUUAAGUAAUUUAUAUGAGUCAUUGAUCUUCCUUUCAUGGGCCCUGUAUAUUCUUCAUACCAUUCCUAAAAUACAGAACUCUAAAAAUGAUUUAAGCACAAUAACUACGCCAAGUACUAUUUUAACGCAAGGCUUUGCCACAUCGGGUCUUUUAACUGAAAUGCAUCAAUCCACAAUACUAGUACCUGCUCUACAAUCUCAGUGGUUAAUGAUGCAUGUCAGUAUGAUGUUAUUAAGCUAUGCAACUCUUUUGUGCGGAUCCUUAUUAUCUGCCGCUAUUCUAAUCAUUAGAUUUCGAAAUAAUUUCCAUUUCUUUUCUAAAAAGAAAAAAAUGUUUUAA